UUGUGUGCAUUGUGAGAGGUGUUGGGUUCGAUUCUCCACCAUGCUCCUUUAUUUUUCUCUGUGUGUGUUGUGCAGUGUGUGCGAGUGACAGUGGGCUCAGGACCCACAUGUCAUGCACUAGGGACCCUGGUAUCUAUGACAGUGGGCCCGUGUCUGUUUAGACCCACAUGUCAUGCACUAGGGACCCUGGUAUCUAUGACAGUGGGCCCGUGUC
rnacentral:lncRNA from 1 species